rnacentral:rRNA from 1 species
CUACGGGAGGCAGCAGUAAGGAAUAUUGGACAAUGGGCGCAAGCCUGAUCCAGCCAUGCCGCGUGGGUGAAGAAGGCCUUCGGGUUGUAAAGCCCUUUUGUCCGGAAAGAAAUCCUGUCGGUUAAUACCCGGCGGGGAUGACGGUACCGGAAGAAUAAGCACCGGCUAACUUCGUGCCAGCAGCCGCGGUAAUACGAAGGGUGCAAGCGUUACUCGGAAUUACUGGGCGUAAAGCGUGCGCAGGCGGUUUUGUAAGACAGAGGUGAAAUCCCCGGGCUCAACCUGGGAACUGCCUUUGUGACUGCAAGGCUGGAGUACGGCAGAGGGGGAUGGAAUUCCGCGUGUAGCAGUGAAAUGCGUAGAUAUGCGGAGGAACACCGAUGGCGAAGGCAAUCCCCUGGGCCUGUACUGACGCUCAUGCACGAAAGCGUGGGGAGCAAACAGGAUUAGAAACCCUGGUAGUCC